GAUGAACGCUGGCGGCGUGCCUAAUACAUGCAAGUCGAGCGAACAGACGGGGGGCUUUCCCCUCUGACGUUUGCGGCGGACGGGGGAGUAACACGUGGAUAACCUACCUUUAAGACUGGGAUAAAUUCGGGAAACCGGAGCCAAUACCGGAUAAUAUAUUGAACCGGAUGGUUCAAUAGUGAAAGACGGUUUUGCUGUCACUUAUUGAUGGAUCCGCGCCGCAUUAGCUAGUUGGUAAGGUAACGGCUUACCAAGGCAACGAUGCGUAGCCGACCUGAGAGGGUGAUCGGCCACACUGGAACUGAGACACGGUCCAGACUCCUACGGGAGGCAGCAGUAGGGAAUCUUCCGCAAUGGGCGAAAGCCUGACGGAGCAACGCCGCGUGAGUGAUGAAGGUCUUCGGAUCGUAAAACUCUGUUAUUAGGGAAGAACAAAUGUGUAAGUAACUAUGCACGUCUUGACGGUACCUAAUCAGAAAGCCACGGCUAACUACGUG
rnacentral:rRNA from 1 species